rnacentral:rRNA from 1 species
UACGGGGGGAGCAAGCGUUGUUCGGAUUUACUGGGCGUAAAGGGCGCGUAGGCGGUCAGCACAAGUCAGUUGUGAAAUCUCCGGGCUUAACUCGGAAAGGUCAACUGAUACUGUGCGACUAGAGUGCAGAAGGGGCAACUGGAAUUCUCGGUGUAGCGGUGAAAUGCGUAGAGAUCGGGAAGAACACCGGUGGCGAAAGCGCUCUACUGGACCGUAACUGACACUCAGGGACGAAAGCUAGGGGAGCGAAUGGG